GAGGGAGGCAGAGCAAUACUUUUACACCUAACAGAACCCAGUACUCCCACUACCAGCACCCUGUCUCUCCGUUUUGGAACUCUAUGGUGGGUCAUGACCCCAGGCGUUCCCUGUCCUCCUGCACUAUCACAACAAUGACAUCACCAUCGCUCCACACAGUGUAAAUACACCCGAGCUGUGCAGAGCGAGGGGAAGAGAGAGGGUAAGAAGGAGAGAGAUAAAGGGAGAGGGAGGUACUGAUGGAUAUCUUUAAAAGCUUCCCUCAGACAAAUGAAGGACUUAUCUGGGAGUGUCUGUGUACAGAUCAACUUUCCGUAAUGCAUGUGUGUGUGUGUGUGUUCGUUCGGGUGUGGGCGUGUUAUUAUACGUGGGACAGGUAUUAUGCAGAACAAAUAUUACACCUAUCAAUCUAACAGAGCAGAACCAACAGGUGUUUCCGCCCUCUCACGCUACACUAUUCACCUCACAUAAAAAUGUCAGCACAAUGAUUUAACACACACUAGUAUCAACAAUACUGUACAUAACUCUUUUAAAAUGUCAUAGUAAUGGUAGUUUGGAAUUGAUGUUCAUACACCUGGUAUCAUUGUGAAUAUGAACAUUUAGGCAAUAGCUUGACCGGUGGUUAGGCUGGCCAAAAGUAGGCUCCAUGAAAAGUUCAAUACUGGUCAUAUAACCGUGUGUCAGUGUAGGUUAUCAGUGAAUUUAUGUCAAUCAUAAAGCUCAUCUGCAUUUCCUGCGAUGCAGGUAUUGUAGUCUCCUUCUGUGUCAGGUAUUGUAGUCUCCUUCUGUGUCAGGUAUUGUAGUCUCCUUCUGUGUCAGGUAUUGUAGUCUCCUUCUGUGUCAGGUAUUGUAGUCUCCUUCUGUGUCAGGUAUUGUAGUCUCCUUCUGUGUCAGGUAUUGUAGUCUCCUUCUGUGUCAGGUAUUGUAGUCUCCUUCUGUGUCAGGUAUUGUAGUCUCCUUCUGUGUCAGGUAUUGUAGUCUCCUUCUGUGUCAGGUAUUGUAGUCUCCUUCUGUGUCAGGUAUUGUAGUCUCCUUCUGUGUCAGGUAUUGUAGUCUCCUUCUGUGUCAGGUAUUGUAGUCUCAUUCUGUGUCAGGUAUUGUAGUCUCCUUCUGUGUCAGGUAUUGUAGUCUCAUUCUGUGUCAGGUAUUGUAGUCUCCUUCUGUGUCAGGUAUUGUAGUCUCCUUCUGUGUCAGGUAUUGUAGUCUCCUUCUGUGUCAGGUAUUGUAGUCUCCUUCUGUGUCAGGUAUUGUAGUCUCCUUCUGUGUCAGGUAUUGUAGUCUCCUUCUGUGUCAGGUAUUGUAGUCUCCUUCUGUGUCAGGUAUUGUAGUCUCCUUCUGUGUCAGGUAUUG